GCGCUACAAGCGGCGCUGUGCGCCAGUGCGAUGCAAUGUUUGUUAUUCCUAACCUCUGGACAUAAAAUCUCUGGACUAAAAAUUUAAUAAUUAUGAUUGUAAUAAACUAUAAGUGAAAUUUUUUCGCCUGAAAAGCAUGUGACGUAUAAUAAAAUAUUUAUUUAUUGUACACAUAUGUGUAUAUUGUAGAUAGUAUGUGUGCGCAUGUAGAUAUAUAUGUACAUAAAGAGAGAGAAUUAGUAAACACACACUACUUAAUAUGCAAUAAAUAUUAUUGAUGAACACAAAUGUGUGCAAUAAAUAAACAUUUAUAUAUUACGUGAUGGAUGUCUGUAAUAAGUCUACGACAGCAAUGCUGCGAACAACAGUACUGCAAAGAUCUGAAGCAGUAAAAGCUGUUCUCUGUCAAGAUCAUUACUUUGAAACACAUUCUAUGUAAGAAAUAAUAAAGAAGAAUACAUUGAGAAGGAAAUGAAAGACACACCGAGCAAAUUCCACAAAUGUAAAGACUGAGUUUGAUGAUUCGCACAUGUGAUUAUAAAGAGAGAAGAGGAACUUUUAGUGGAAAAAAGAUGAAAUUGGAGUCUACAUUAAUAGAAGAAUGAAACGAAUAUUAUUGGAAAAAUAAUGAUGCAAGCAAAAAAGUAUUUUACUGGCAUCUUGCAACACUUUUCCUUUUUAGACCAAAACUUUUCUGCUUAAAAAUUUAUAAAAAUC